AAACUCUCCAAAUCAUUAAAAAGAUCAAAGGCAAAAACAAACAGAAAAACAAGACAAAGCGAAGAUCUACCCGUCACAAAACAAAAAAUUGCCCCAAGCAAUCAGCCCACGGUUCCAACAGGGAAAUAAAACAAGCCAGUCAAAGGGUGACACCUGUCAGCUCAGACCUUGCAGAAGACGAGGUGGUCCCGACGCCUCCCUCUCCUUGGGGGGCCUUGGCUUCCUCCUGCCCACCAAGCCCUUCAAGGGCUCCAGACAUCAGCACCCAUGCCGACAGACCCAGGUAGGGGCUUUCUUGUGGACUAGUAAUUUCCCGGGGCUGCCAUAACAAAUUACUACAAACCGGUUGCUUUACAACAAUAGAAUGUAUUCUCUCACAGUUCCGGAGAAGUCCACAAUCAAGGUGUCCCGAGGGCUGCACUCACUCUGAAGGGCUAGGGGAAAAUCCCGCCUGGCCCCUUCCAGCUCCGGGGGCUGCGGGCAGUCAUUGGAGUCCCUCGGCUGGUAGAGGCGUCGCUUCCAUCUCGGCCUCCGUCUUCACAUGGCCAUCUCCCUAGGUCUGUGUGUCCUUUUCCAUCUCUUUGAAGGGCCCUCAUUGAAUUCAGGGCCCACCUUAAUCCAGUAUGCCCUCAUCUUGGUCCUUUCCUUAAUUACAUCUGCAAAGACCCUUCCCAAUAAGGUUCCACUCUGAGGGUCUAGGUGGCCGAGAAUUUGAGGGAACACAACAACCCACGACAGACACAGUUCCCUGGAACUGAAGACACAUUUAACUAACUUUUGUGAUGGGGAAGCUGGGCAGGUGUGCAAGGCAGGACAGCCACUCCAAGGCCAGGCAGACUGUGUAUGGGGCAUCUCCUGGCCCGGGCUCUUGCUCUCGGAGGGGACAGCUCCUGGGGACACGGGCUGGUCCAUCUCAUGGGCCCUGCUGGGGUUCCUUCCCUUCACCCCACUGGGGAAGGCGAGCCCCAUGCCCUGAGACCCUGGUGCUGAGCCACACACGAGGGGUGAAACGCCAGCAGGCCAGCAUCGCCCUCACCCUUGUGGCAGCCAUCUUUCAUUGAUCUCCACUCGUUUUUCAGACGUGCAUUUCCCAUCGUAAACUGUGCUAAAUGCUAUUUAGUAGCUAAUUAACUUUCCAUGGGAGGAUUUCUCUAAUUGCACACUCUCCCCGCUCCGCCGGGUCCUCGGGGACACAAAGCUGUCCUAGAGCAUUUGUUCUGCUCGCUCCUACCUCGCAGGCACAACUUCCACCCCGACAACAAACUGCCAAUCAAGCCAGCAGAGGUCAAGGGGGACCAAAUUAGGAGCCCUCUGCUACUGCCAAACUUGCUUGGCGAAGCUUAAUUUAAAUAGAAAGCAAAAAGGUUAGGAAAAAUAAUUUUUCCCAAUGAAACUCUUUGCCAGGUGGCAGAAAGGCGCUGUCCUCUGCUCUCCGCAGUGGCUGAUUUCUUCUUUGAAAUGUUCUGACUGGAAUCUGUUUAUAUUUUGUCUGCACUGGCAUCUGCCAUCCAUCAAAUGGAGAGAUAAUCAGAAAACAAAAGUGUCUGAUUAGCAUCUGCAUCAAUCACUGUGGUCUGGUUACUGCGUGGUCUCAACACGUGGGAGGCAGGAGGCAGAAAAGGUGUGCAUUUGGUCCACACCCGCCCACUCAGAGCCAAAAGCCAUCACUGGCUUUGUCCACUGGUCUCAUAGCUUGUAUACCUAGGACACGUGGACACUGGCCCCACAUCGCAAGUCCACGUUCGCUUCGUAAAUGUAAGGAGCAGACCCCUGAGCGCCGCAUCCUCAGCAUGCCCAUGGCGCUGACGCAGCCUCCAGGACAUUUUUGGAGAUGCCCUGCGUGCAGAGCAUCCACGUGAAGUCUCCAACCCUGACACCUUCGUCAGAGAAGACAAAAGAGAGAACAAGCAGUGCCUCCCGCCAAAGGUGUUUUCCACCUCGGAGAGCGGAGGCCAGGCCGAGACUCCCGGGUUUGAAGGGUGAAUGGCAAGGGGUGUGUCAGCCGGUGACACUCAACUCCUGCCUCUUAUUAAAGGGCGGAGCCACCACAGUGAGCGAGCAGGUUUAAUCUUGGAAAGCAGUGUCCUGGUUGGGUUUUCCAUUCAUCAGGAAAGGCUCACAAACCUGGCCCCGCAGGAGGCUGGGGCCGAGCCCUGCACGCUGCGUCUUCAGGGGAUGACCUUAUCCCUGCUGGGUCAACAGGAAGGUCUGGUUGAGUGAGAAGCCUGCAGACUGGUGCCUGAGGUCCGCCCCCUGGGCAGGCUGGGCUGGGGUGGGCCGGGGCUGUCGAGGCAUGCCCCGGGUGACGUUUGUCCUGACCGAGGGGAGGAGCUCGACCUGAGGUCCCCGGACAUAGGUGGCCCUAUGGUCCCCGCUGCUAUGUUUAGCCGUCUCCCUUCCCGCAGCAGCCUUUAAGCAAAGCCAUCUGGGAUGUACUUUGUUUCCACAGAGGGCCCCUGAACGUGAGGUGGGACCCUGGUAUCUGCUCUGCAGGCAACAGAAGGUCAGGACGAGGACUGGUCAUGGAGCUGCGGACAGGGUCAUUGCCCACAGCAGAGUCAGGUCUCCAGCCAGGAGCAGGUUUGCAGGAACAUCUUUCUGGAACAUUGCCGCAACCCCAACCAACAGAGGGAAUUGUCCUAGAACAUCUCUGCCUGGGUAGGGUAGGGAACAAGCAUUUCUUUAAGGAUGGAGUAACCGGGUGCGGGAUGUGCCUGGUGACAAGGAACCAGUGCUGUCUGGGAGGGUGGAGGCUGGGGAGUGGGGGUGGGGAUGUCCCAGGGAAGAAUUUUCCUUCCAGCUUUGUGACCGUGACCUCUCUGGGCUGGGAGAGCCCUGGGCACUGCCGCAAGCUGGUUCUCAGGCGGAAGGGUGUUCCGUGGGAACAGGGAGAUUCAGGUUCAGAGGCGACAGGGGCUCCUUCAACAGCAGCCGCUUUACAGGCGGGCGAGGAACUUUCCUUCGUGGAGCUUUUAAUCCAGGGCAGACACACGCGCACGGCCGGGAGGAGUGUGUGAAGGCACCCAGGCUUGGACCCUUGGAGGGUCUUGGAUGUUAGGCUUUCAUGAAACCGGGAGGGGAAUAUCUUAAACUCGCAAAAACCAGGUAACUCAGCAAUUCUGAGAGUGACUUAGAAAAACAAGGGGAAAAAGCAGGUGGAGGAGAACGAGAGGACACUGAAUAUUUUCUUCUGAUUCAAACAAGAUCCUUUUAACUUCCUCCUGAAACUGUGUGUGUGUGUGUGCGAGUGUGCGUGGUGUCUGGGUGUGAGUGUUUUGAGCCAGGAUCCCCAUUCCCGUUCAGGCCCAGGCCAGCCUUCAGAUGUGAAAGGAUAAGAGCUUCCCCUGUGGGUCCGGGCCCCAGGCGCCGGGAUUAGGAAAGAGGGGGAAAGGGAUUGCGUACUCCCAGAAAUCGCUGUGUUUAUUUACUUUGAACGUUUUCCCUGGACACCAACAGGGAGGUGCUGGCCUGGCCACCAGCCCUGGGCUCCUCAGCAGGCAGGCGUCUGCCCAGUCUUUUAUGUUCUUUCCAAAGUCACAAAACAGAAACAAUACUGCCUGGAGAAGUCACGCCGGCCAGUGGACCUCUCUCUCCCCAGCUUCAGCAAGAGUUGUGGCCAAUUUGCCCCAACUGGAAAAAGUUUUCUUUUGUCAAAUGUAGAGAGCUGUGCAUUGAGUCCAGACCCCACACAGUCAGCUCCACUGGGCGUGUUCCCAAGGGGCAUGGUGGGCACGACCCGGAUGGGGCUCCAACCAUGGAUCUACCCAAUCAUAGGAUGGAGGAAAAUCAGACACCGCACAGCCUGCCUGCAGCCAGCUCCACCCGCCGGGCCUUCUCCUGGUGAAUCUACAUUUCUGUGCUCCAUGCCAAAGAACUGGGUCAGCACACCAGCAACUCAACAGACUAGCUCCAUCGCAAAGGGAACAAAACCCAAAUCACUAACUUUAGGGGUGACUGGGGUUUUUCUGGAAGGUCCUUUAAUCAGUAACCAGCCACAAAGCAAGACUCAGUGGCCCCUGUUUGUUUGGUCAGUUAAAGGCUCAUAAAAAUCAAAGCCGAAUUCCGCCACGCGCAGUGAAGUCUGUCCUGGCCAGCCCCGCUGAAAAUCCACCCUGUGGCUGGGUCUCUGGCCGGGCUGGACCGUGUCGCCCGCAUCCCAACCCAUGCCUGCCCUCCCACCCCAGGCCUGUUCUGGGGAUCCAGCACCCUCCGUCCUGCCGAAGAAAAGCCUUUCAAUCAAUAGAAGAAAAUUUUAUGUUUCCGCAAAGGACGUUUCUCAAAUUGGAAAAAAACCAAAAGAGAGAAGCAGAGAUGACUCACACAAAUGUGCCCAGCUGAUAUUUCGCAAAGGGGCAAAAGCAAUUCAGCGGAGGAGGGGGAGCCUUCUCAACAGCGGCGCUGGGGGAGUCAGACACCCCCGGGGAAAAGAGGAACCUCGCCCGAAACCUCGCUCCUAACGUCAAAAUGAACUCAAAAUGGAUCAUGGAAUGGAAAUUUGAAUUAAAUGUAAAACGUGAGUCUAGAAAGUCUCUAGGAAAAUAACAUAGGAGAUCAUCUUUGGGAUCCAGGACGAGGCUGGGAGUUCUCAGACUCGACACCAAAAGCAAGAUCCAUAAGAAAAAUUGCUCUGUUGGACAUCAUCAAAAUUAAAAUCUUUUGCUUUGUGAAAGAUCCUGUUAGGGGGAUGAAAAGAUAACUAUACACUGGGAGAAAUACUUGCAAAUCAUAUAUCUGACAAAAGACUAGUAUCUAGAAUACAUAAAGAACUCUCAAAAACGCAAGCGUUAAAAAGAAAACCCCCGUUAGAAUGUGGGCAAAAGACAUGAAGAGACAUUUCACCAAAGAGGACACCGACGUGGCAAAUAAACACAGGAAAAGGUGUUCAGCGUCACUAGGGGGACGAGAACUACAAUCACAAUGAGAUAGCAUUACACACGGAUCAGAAUGGCCAAAAGAAAACAUGAGCCCACCAAAUGCUGGCAAGGAUGCAGAGAAACUGGAUCACUCACCUAUUGCUGGUGGCCAUGUGAGAUGGCACAGCUACUAAACAGGCAAUCACCAUUUGUGCGACUCAGCAACUGCACUCCUGGGACUUCAUCCCAGAGAAAUGAAGACCAUGUUCAGACAAAAAUCUGGAUGGAAUGUUCGUAGCCGCUUUAUCUGUAAAUGCCCCGAACCGGAGACAGCCCCUUAGCGCCCUUCCACGGGUAGACAGUUAAGCUGGUCCGUGCACAUCACGGAAUACGACUCAGCAAUAAAAAGGAGAGAGCUAUUGAUACGCACAACGAUGUGGAAGGAGCUCAAGGGAAGUAAGCUGAAUGAAAAAAGCCCAUCUCAAAGGUUACACACGAGUUGGAAUCUCAGCCAGGAACUCGUGUGCUGUGACCUUUGCAAGUGACGCGAGCUGUCUGUUCCUCAGCCUUCUCUAAAACGGGAGAAGGGCACGGACCUCGAGCGUCCUUUCAGGAGUAAAUGCAUCAGUGCCCCCACAGCAAGGGUGGGGUCGAACAGUGUCCCCCAAAAUUCAUGUCCACCUGGAGCCUCCCGAUGUGACUUUAUUUGGAAUCAGGGUCUUCACAGACAUAAUUAGUUAAGGACCUCAAGAGGACAUCAUCCUGGAUUUAGAGUGACUUAUGUCCCGACAAAAAGAGGACGCAGAGACACAGAGGCGACAGCCAUGCGAAGACAGAGGCAGAGGCUGGAGCGAGGCGGCCACAAGCCAAGGGCGCCUGGAGCCGCAGGAGCUGGAAGAGGCAGGAAGCACCUUCAGACCUUCCCUAGACGUUCAGAGGGAGCACGGUCCUGCCGACACCUCGAUCUCGGACUUCUGGCCUCUGGAGCUGUGAGAAAAUCAAUUUCUGUUGUUUGAAGCCACCCACUUUUGGGUCCUCUGUCACAGCCGCCCCAGGAAACGAACACAAAGCGCUCAGAACCAGCUGGCAUGCUAAGUGCUGUGAAAGUGCCACUUGUGUUUGCCCUCCUGGUAACAAUUUUUACUACCUGCUCCGUGCAGAACCCUUUCACUCGUCACCUCACUGGACCCUCACAAUAGCCCCAUUUCACAGAUGUGGAAACCGAGACACAGAGAGGCUCAACACCUUGCCCUGGCCAGGUCCUAGGGAUCUGGGUGGGGCUGAGGGUCACAUCUGGGCUCUGACCACAGAGCUAGCCAGGCUCCCAGCCCUGCAGGACCCACGGGGCCUCCCCAACCAAGCUGGCCUGCCCCUGCUGCCCCCAGACAGUGCGUGUGAGCCAAACAGCCACCCGAGUCACAUGUCAAGGGACUGGACACUGUCGAGACCCAGUCUGAAUUCUUUGGCAGCCCCUCCAAGCUCCUGAAGCCAGUGGCAGCCACCGCCUGCUAAUGAGCUCCCAGAGCCGAGGAGCAGAGAGCAAAGGGUCCGUGCUCGGCCCUGGGUACCGGCCUGGCUUCUGAACCUGGCAGUGGGGCUCCCCGGCCGUUUCCAGCCUGCCCGGAGGCCCCCCCCACCAGACUGCAGGGCUCAGACCUCCUGGCUGCCCUUCCUGUACCCCUGGUAUUGGCCAGCCCCCAGGCACAGGGGGAGCAGCUGGUGACAGCCACCUUGACUGGGGGGCACUUGGAGGGGAGGGAGAAGCCGGCACGCAGCCUGCCGAGCGCUAAGAAACAUAAGACAAGAUUAGCCUUAACGAAGCGCAGAACAGAUUGCAGGGUGUCGGGAGAUAGGAUGUUUGAAAGAAAGAAAUCUCAGCUCCCGGGUGCAGAAGCACAAACAAACCCAAACAACAGAUCUUUGGAAGCUGCCAGCUCCCCGGCUGCCAGGCUGCUGCUGGGGGCCCGGGAGGGGCUAGGGCGGCUGUGCCCAGAGCAUCCUUAGGGCACCUGGGCACCUGGGCUGGCCCCAUGACUGAGCUUGGAGGAAUCUUCCUGGAAUUUGGACGGUAAGGGGAUGCACUUCUCUGAGUUCCCAGUCAGUCCACCUCCUAAAUCUCUCUGGAACCCACUGACGCCUCAGCAUCCCAUCCACAACUGACCACACAGACAGUCAGCCCCUUCUCCGAGGUGGAGCAGCCCCUGGACCCACCCUCCAUCGCCAGUCCUGCUGGAGUGGCCUCCUAGGACAUGCGCUGGUCCAGUCCCCAACCCUUCCUUACUGCAGCAUCGAACCUGGGCUCACCACGCCUCCCGGCUGUCUCUUGCCUCUGGACCUUCACCCUGCUGGUCCCUCAAUGAGAUGGCUCCUCCUUCUUCCCUGCCCCCGCCCCCCCCGCAUCUUCUCAGGGCCACACCUUUCUCAUGAGCCCCUCCACCUUGUCUGUCCUUCUCCCACCUCUGGGAAAGAAUUCUUAUUUGCUGACAGCUACUCUGAGCCGGGAACAGAAAGACGGGAAGCAGUGAAGUGCGGCUCCCUCCUUUGUAUCACGCCCCUCCCCUGCAGGGCUCAUUUCUUCUCCCAUUUCUGGGAGAAUUUCCACUCCCUCCUUCAGGCUUGUGUGCCUGCCCUGAGAUGGCUGGACAGAAAAGGACCAGCAAGGCUAUUUAUGAAAACCACCAGGAAUCACUGAGCAUCCAACAGGAUCAUCGCACCAACCACUGCCCUCAAAAGGCCCUGGUGACCUUGCACAACACCGUCAGGGUCCCCGGUGGCAGCUCCCUGGCAAUGACACUUUCAGGCACUCGGACUUAAGCCACGGAGCUCACCAGUUCUGGCUCCUUCUCGGAGGCUGGGAUUCCUCCCAGAGUGCCUCAUUUCAUCAGCGCGCAGGGUGGGAGGAGCAGGGGCCAGUUACAGCAACGAUGACAAUAGGUAUUAAUAAUUCAGCCUUUAUGGCUGAUACCCUGGUGUCAUAGAGCCUUUUCCUCCUAAAGGCAAAAAGCACUUAAGAUGCCAUUUAUUUCAGCCUCGCGCCCGGCAGGGUGGCUGGCUGGAGCCAGGCUGAGCCUCAGGCCAGGCAGCAACCUUCCCACCUCGCUGGCUUCGGCCUGUAGCUUCAGGGUAACCUGACCGCUCCUGCCACCCGCUGUGAAACCGGCCCCUUGGGGGUGGGGGAGGGGCACCUGCUCUCGUCUCAUCUUUUCCCUUUUCCUUUGGACAGAGAAUUUUGAGGGCCUACUCUGUGCCAGGAGCGUGUUUCCACCUUCCCUGCUCCUCCCAAGGACUGCUCAUCUGGACCUGCGUUGUCCAAACGGAAACCCCUUGCCGCAUACGGCUAUUAAAAUUUAAAUUCACUGAAGAUGAAUAAAAUUAAAAAUCCAGUUGCUCAGUCUCAAUAGCCACAUUUUCAAGGCUCGAUCCCAUACAUGGUUAGUGGCUACUGCACUGGACAGCGUCCAUCACUGCAGAAAGUUCUACUGGACGGCGCUGGUCUAGACGGGCCGGUAAGUCUCAGGAGAAAGCAACAGUGCAAAGCAGUAUAGUUUAAUGCCACACGAAGGGAUGCCCAGGGAGCGGCGGGCACAGAGAGGACCCCUGCGGGCUGGCUGGGGUUUCCACAGUAGAGGGGAGAACAUUCCAGCUGGAGGAAGCAAGGCUGGGAAAUGGGGAGCCUGCUCGGGAUGGCUGGGCAAAGUGCAGUGUGCAUGGGAAAAGAGCAAGAGGAAAGGAUGAAGAGGCAGGUGAGCAUCUGAGCAGGAGCCUGUGGGCAGGAGGGCCCGAGUCCCCCUGUGGCCACGCCCGGCUCUCCUGGACGUGUGUCUGAGCUGGCAUGACCACUGCACCAAUGAAGCCAUGGUGAGAGACACUGCAUGCGAGGCCACCCAGCUCAUUCUGUAACCCCGUACAUCACCCUUCACUUGGGACGGCUGCCCUGAGAAUGCACGCCAAGAACGACAAGAGGAUCCCACAAGGGAGAGGAAAUGAAGCACACAUUCCCCCUGGGGGGGCACUAGUGACAAGCUCCAGGGUCUGAGGGUGGUAGAUCAUUAGCGUCGCUUUCAUUGGAAGGACCUUACACAGGCCCGGGGGCUUUUUCAUUAACAAUAUCCGAGACAGCAGGCGAGGGCGAGCAGGUCUGGGCUGUACAGGGCUUUAACUGGCUGCCUAUUUUUAAAACUGGUUUUCAUCAUAAGAGUAACAUAAUCACAGUAUAACAUUUUUGGAAAUUGAGAAAAGAAAAAAUUGCUCAUAAUCACACUAUCCUAACACACUGGCACAUCUUCCUCUCAACCCGUGCUGUCUAAUAUGGCAGGCACAUGUGCAAUUUAAAUUUAUAUUAGUCGAUAGGAUGUAAAAUUAAAAACUCAGCGUCUCAGUUGCACUAGCCACAUUUCGAGUGUUCCCCAGCUGCGUGAAGACUGCAUUGAUGGCACAGGCCUAGAAUAUCUCCAUCCUGGUACCGUGCUGCUCCAGACUGCCUCAUUCAUGCACCAGCCCUUUCCACAGAUUUGAAUCAAAAUGUGCACAUAAUUUGCUACCUGCUUUGUUUUCGAUACACUGUAAAUUCCCACGCUGUAGCACAGUCUUUAUAAACACUUAGCACAGUCUUUAUAAGCACUGCAUACUCUUCCAUCCAGGAGUAUGAACCUUCUGGACCUUUUGGGGGUCACAAACCCUUUGCACAGUCAGACGGUGCCCCCUCCCUCAGAAAAAUGCACACGCAUGAGCCCACAUACAAGAAGCGGCGUAAGAUUUCGGGGGGCUCCCAGGCCCCAGUUAAAACUCCUUGAUCUAGUACAUGACCUGUAAUCGAUUUAUCUCCUUCUCUACUGCUAGAUAUUUAGGCUCUUUCCCUUUCUUUCCCCAUUAUAAAGAACACGAUGAUGAACAUCUUCACGUAAGUGUGUUUUAUUGCUGCAAUUUAGACGAUUUCUUAGGACGAGUUCUAGAAGAGACAUGUUGACUUAGGGAGUAGGAGCUGUGUUCUGGUUCUUCAGACAUAUCACCAAUGCACUUCCCAAGGGUGGGGCCAGUUGACAUGCCACACGCGGGGCCACACGAGGGUCCUGUUGUAUU